CUGCUGCUAAGGUUUCCCCUGAAGAUGCAAGAAAAAAGUGACCUUACAUUUUCUGUCUGUCUGAUUGUGGCAGCCAAGAUUGAAUAGGGAAAUACAGAG
rnacentral:snoRNA from 1 species